rnacentral:rRNA from 1 species
UAGAGUUUGAUCCUGGCUCAGAUUGAACGCUGGCGGCAGGCCUAACACAUGCAAGUCGAGCGGUAACAGGAGUGCUUGCACUCUGCUGACGAGCGGCGGACGGGUGAGCAAUACUUGGGUAUCUGCCCAAUAGUGGGGGACAACACGGGGAAACUCGUGCUAAUACCGCAUACGCCCUACGGGGGAAAGCAGGCUUCGGCUUGCGCUAUCGGAUGAGCCCAAGUCGGAUUAGCUAGUUGGUGAGAUAAAAGCUCACCAAGGCGACGAUCCGUAACUGGUCUGAGAGGAUGAUCAGUCACACCGGAACUGAGACACGGUCCGGACUCCUACGGGAGGCAGCAGUGGGGAAUAUUGGACAAUGGGGGCAACCCUGAUCCAGCCAUGCCGCGUGUGUGAAGAAGGCCUUAGGGUUGUAAAGCACUUUCAGUGAGGAGGAAAAGUUAAUGGUUAAUACCCAUUAGCCGUGACGUUACUCACGGAAGAAGCACCGGCAAACUCCGUGCCAGCAGCCGCGGUAAUACGGAGGGUGCGAGCGUUAAUCGGAAUUACUGGGCGUAAAGCGCGCGUAGGCGGUUUGUUAAGCCGGUUGUGAAAGCCCUAGGCUCAACCUAGGAACUGCACCCGGAACUGGCAAGCUAGAGUACAGUAGAGGAAGGUGGAAUUCCAAGUGUAGCGGUGAAAUGCGUAGAUAUUUGGAGGAACAUCAGUGGCGAAGGCGGCCUUCUGGACUGAUACUGACGCUGAGGUGCGAAAGCGUGGGGAGCAAACAGGAUUAGAUACCCUGGUAGUCCACGCCGUAAACGAUGUCAACUAGUUGUUGGGUUCCUUGUGGACUUAGUAACGCAGCUAACGCAUUAAGUUGACCGCCUGGGGAGUACGGCCGCAAGGUUAAAACUCAAAUGAAUUGACGGGGGCCCGCACAAGCGGUGGAGCAUGUGGUUUAAUUCGAUGCAACGCGAAGAACCUUACCUACUCUUGACAUCCAGAGAAUUCGCUAGAGAUAGCUUAGUGCCUUCGGGAACUCUGAGACAGGUGCUGCAUGGCUGUCGUCAGCUCGUGUUGUGAAAUGUUGGGUUAAGUCCCGUAACGAGCGCAACCCCUAU